UGGCUCAGGAUGAACGCUGGCGGCGUGCCUAAUACAUGCAAGUCGAGCGCGUGAAACUAAACAGAACUCUUCGGAGUGACGUAUAGCGGAUCGAGCGGCGGAUGGGUGAGUAACACGUGGGCAACCUGCCUAUAAGACUGGGAUAACUUACGGAAACGUGAGCUAAUACCGGAUGAAACCUCUUAUCACCUGGUAAGAGGAUGAAAGAUGGCUUUUAGCUAUCACUUAUAGAUGGGUCCGCGGCGCAUUAGCUAGUUGGUGAGAUAAAAGCUCACCAAGGCAACGAUGCGUAGCCGACCUGAGAGGGUGAUCGGCCACACUGGGACUGAGACACGGCCCAGACUCCUACGGGAGGCAGCAGUAGGGAAUCUUCCGCAAUGGACGAAAGUCUGACGGAGCAACGCCGCGUGAACGAAGAAGGUUCUCGGAUCGUAAAGUUCUGUUGUUAGGGAAGAACACGUACCAUUCGAAUAGGGUGGUACCUUGACGGUACCUAACGAGAAAGCCCCGGCUAACUACGUGCCAGCAGCCGCGGUAAUACGUAGGGGGCAAGCGUUGUCCGGAAUUAUUGGGCGUAAAGCGCUCGCAGGCGGUUUUUUAAGUCUGAUGUGAAAUCUUGCGGCUCACCCGCAAGCGGUCAUUGGAAACUGGAGAACUUGAGGACAGAAGAGGAGAGUGGAAUUCCAUGUGUAGCGGUGAAAUGCGUAGA
rnacentral:rRNA from 1 species